rnacentral:rRNA from 1 species
AUUGAACGCUGGCGGCAGGCUUAACACAUGCAAGUCGAACGAGUGGCGGACGGGUGAGUAAUGUCUGGGAACCUGCCCGGUGGAGGGGGAUAACUACUGGAAACGGUAGCUAAUACCGCAUACUAUUGGAUCUGCCCAUAUGGGAUUAGCUAGUUGGUGGGGUAAAGGCUCACCUAGGCGACGAUCCCUAGCUGGUCUGAGAGGAGGACCAGCCACACUGGAACUGAGACACGGUCCAGACGCCUACGGGAGGCAGCAGUGGGGAAUAUGGGACAAUGGGGGAAACCCUGAUGCAGCCAUGCCGCGUGUAUGAAGAAGGCCUUCGGGUUGUAAAGUACUUUCAGCGGGGAGGCGGUACUCGCAGAAGAAGCACCGGCUAACUCCGUGCCAGCAGCCGCGGUAAUAC